UACGUAGGGUGCAAGCGUUUGUCCGGAAUUAUUGGGCGUAAAGAGCGUGUAGGCGGCCUGAAAGGUCAGCUGUGAAAACUCAAGGCUCAACCUCGAGACGUCGGUUGAAACCAUCUGGCUAGAGUCCGGAAGAGGAGUGUGGAAUUCCCGGUGUAGCGGUGAAAUGCGCAGAUAUCGGGAAGAACACCCGUGGCGAAGGCGGCACUCUGGGACGGUACUGACGCUGAGACGCGAAAGCGUGGGGAGCGAACAGGA
rnacentral:rRNA from 1 species